GUAGCCUGAGAUUUCAGAUUUGCAGCAAAAAAUUUGAUUUUCCCAUUUAUUGGAAUGCUGUGCAGGUUGUACCUUGCAGCCAUCCAUUACAAUGUCACCAAGCCGUAACAAAAGCAGGAGAGGGAAAGUACAAGGCUAUGUUCCCAAAACACACAAGUGACAUACUUUAUGUGGAUGAUGUGAUCAGGCUUGUGUUUGAUGAGGUAUUUGAAGAUAAGCUGAAGGAAACCCCCGAUUCCAAUGGACCUGGCAUCACAGUUUGAGAGACCUUCAAAGGAGGACGUGAUUGCAUGCCAUCUUCAGUGCAGGGGUCGUCGGAAGCCAACAUUCUGACGAGUCUGAUCAGGAAGCUCCAAGCAUAUCUGGAGAACAACACACGACAGGAUGAUAAUCCUAUUGUGUCGUCUUAAGUAGCACCAGCUGACAAAGCUUUGA